GUCUAAUCUAUAUAAACAAAACGAGAAACGAGAAACACGUAUAUAUUACAUAAACAAACGACAACUACUGUACAUCAGAUUCCUGACUUAGGACAGGUGCAAACAUUUGCAGCGGGAUUAAACGUUUUAAUGGAUCCAAACCUUCUCCUUUUUUCUGAAACAAUAGCAUAACAUCACAACAAAGAAAAACAUACAAUAAAAUAUCAAUUGGCAGAC
rnacentral:lncRNA from 1 species